rnacentral:rRNA from 1 species
UGCCAGCAGCCGCGGUAAUACGGAGGGUGCGAGCGUUAAUCGGAAUUACUGGGCGUAAAGAGUACGUAGGCGGCAAGGUAAGUUGAAUGUGAAAUCUUCGGGCUCAACCUGAAAACUGCAUUCAAAACUGCCUAGCUAGAGUACGGUAGAGGAUAGCGGAAUUUCCUGUGUAGCGGUGGAAUGUGUAGAUACAGGAAGGAACACUAGUUGCGAAGGCGGCUAUCUGGACCGAUACUGACGCUGAGGUACGAAAGCUUGGGUAGCAAACAGGAUUAGAUA